rnacentral:rRNA from 1 species
GAUGAACGCUGGCGGCGUGCCUAACACAUGCAAGUCGAACGGAGUCCAGCCUUUAAGACCUUCGGGUCAAAGAGGGGAAGACUGAGUGGCGGACGGGUGAGUAACACGUGGGCAACCUGGCUCAUAGAGGGGGAUAACAGAGAGAAAUUUCUGCUAAUACCGCAUAAGCACACACUGCCGCAUGGCAGAGGGUGAAAAGAGAAUCGCUAUGAGAUGGACCCGCGUCUGAUUAGCCAGUUGGCAGGGUAAGAGCCUACCAAAGCGACGAUCAGUAGCCGAUCUGAGAGGAUGAACGGCCACAUUGGGACUGAGACACGGCCCAAACUCCUACGGGAGGCAGCAGUGGGGGAUAUUGCACAAUGGGGGGAACCCUGAUGCAGCGACGCCGCGUGAGUGAAGAAGUAUUCCGGUAUGUAAAGCUCUAUCAGCAGGGAAGAUAAUGACAGUACCUGAAUAAGAAGCCCCGGCUAACUACGUG